rnacentral:tRNA from 1 species
GUAUGUAGCUCAGUGGUAUAGUGUAUGCUUAGUAUGUGCAAGGACCUGGGUUCAAUCCCUAGCAACA